GACGAACGCUGGCGGCGUGCCUAAUACAUGCAAGUCGAGCGAACAGACCAGGAUUUUGUUCCUCUGUCGUUAGCCGCGGGCGGGUGAGUAACACGUGGAUCCUCUACCUAUAAGACUGGGAUAACUUCGAGAAACGGGAGCUUAUACCGGAUAAUCUAUUGAACCGCAGGGUUCAAUAGUGAGAGACGGCUUUUCUGUCAGUUAUAGAUGCUUCCGCGCCGCAUUAGCUAGUUGGUAAGGUAACGGCUUACCAAGGCAACGAUGCGUAGCCGACCUGCGAGGGUGAUCGGCCACAGUGGAACUGGGACACGGUCCAGGCUCCUACGGGAGGCAGCAGUAGGGAAUCGGACGCAGUGGGCGAAAGCGUGACGGAGCAGCGGCGCGUGAGUGAUGGAGGUGUUGGGAUCGUGAAACUCUGUUAUUAGGGAAGAACAGAUGUGUAAGUAGCUGUACACGUCUUGACGGUACCGGAUCAGAAAGCCACGGCUAACUACGUG
rnacentral:rRNA from 1 species